GUGUGGUUAUGUUGCUAAGAGUGUUGAUGCCGAUCGGUCCGGUUCAUUAAGUCAGGUAAAUCGCUUGUAAUUGCUUCGGAAGUGCGGCUAAUUGCCUCUCGAGGGAUUUAACGUACCCAUUUGCCUGUCGUUUCUUAAUUUACGCUGACCGAUUCGGCGUGAAACUCGUGUUUUCGUGCAUUUCUAACCUGAAGUAAGUUCGCGCCAAGCGGCACUCUGACGCCCCGAAGGAAACGUCCGUAUAAUAUGAGUUCACGCGUUUACGUGGGCGGUAUCCCCUACGAAACCCGUGAGAGGGACCUAGAAAACUUCUUCAGAGGAUUUGGUCGCAUACGCGACGUUCUCAUCAAGAACGGUUAUGGAUUUGUGGAGUUUGACGAUUAUCGUGACGCAGAAGAUGCGGUUUACGAAUUGCACGGUAAAAAGUUACUGGGCAUGCGAGUCAGCGUAGAAAUGGCCCGAGGCAGACCCAGGGGACGCGAUCAAGAAUGGUUCUCGAGCCGUGAUCAUCGACCACGUGGCGGCGGACAAGGGCCCCCGGUCCGCACGAAUUACCGCAUUUUCGUCGAAAACUUGUCGUCGGGGGUGAGCUGGCAGGACCUUAAAGAUUAUCUGCGACCCGCCGGCGAAGUUACAUUCGCCGACGCCCACAAGAAGUACAAGAACGAGGGUAUCGUCGAAUUUGCGUCGUACGACGACAUGAAGAAUGCCAUCAGAAAAUUUGACGACACCGUUUUGAACGGAAGACGUAUCCGUUUGGUUGAGGAUAAGAGCGCCAGGAGGGGCAGCAGGAGCAGAAGCCGAUCGAGGAGCAGAUCGUCCUCGGGCGAUAGCAGAAAACGCGGACGCUCCAGAAUUGGACAUUGACUUUUGGGCAAUGACCAGCCAGUAAAGCAAUCAAUGAAUUACCUUACACAAACUGAAUGAAAAUAACGAACUCUGUAGUGUGUCGAGGGCCAAAAAGCGUUUUCGUUACAAACCGACCUCCUCGUCACCUCGUGCGUGUCGCAUAAUGUACCAACCAAUGACCAAUUAUAAGCAAUUUUAGACAAUCAAUGCAGUACCGAGCAACACAGACGUUCGCGCCAAAAAAUAUAAAUACAUGGCGCACAGACAGUCAAUCCCGCACAGGGCCAAAAAAUACGUAAAAAAUCUAAAGGGGGCGAUGCAAAAGAUCGGGGCAAUGCGUGUGUGUGCGGGACCAUUAAGCCUGCCCAAUGGUCUAAAUCGAACUCUCCCGUCAAAAAGGAGAAGAAGUCGUCGCGUUCGAGGUCGCGGUCUAGGUCGCCCGAGAAGGAGAGGUCCAAGUCUAGAUCUCCAUCGAAGAGGAAGUCGGUGAAGAGAUCCCGAUCGCGGUCUG